rnacentral:rRNA from 1 species
AGAGUUUGAUCAUGGCUCAGGAUGAACGCUGGCGGCGUGCUUAACACAUGCAAGUCGAACGAACCUUCGGGUUAGUGGCGGACGGGUGAGUAACGCGUGAGAAUCUGCCCUCAGGAGGGGGAUAACGGUUGGAAACGACCGCUAAUACCCCAUAUGCCGAUAGGUGAAAUGAAUUUCGCCUGAGGAUGAGCUCGCGUCUGAUUAGCUAGUUGGUGAGGUAAUGGCUCACCAAGGCUUCGAUCAGUAGCUGGUCUGAGAGGAUGAUCAGCCACACUGGGACUGAGACACGGCCCAGACUCCUACGGGAGGCAGCAGUGGGGAAUUUUCCGCAAUGGGCGAAAGCCUGACGGAGCAACGCCGCGUGAGGGACGAAGGCCUCUGGGCUGUAAACCUCUUUUCUCAAGGAAGAAGAUAUGACGGUACUUGAGGAAUAAGCCACGGCUAAUUCCGUGCCAGCAGCCGCGGUAAUACGGGAGUGGCAAGCGUUAUCCGGAAUUAUUGGGCGUAAAGCGUCCGCAGGCGGCCUUUCAAGUCUGCUGUUAAAGCGUGGAGCUUAACUCCAUUAUGGCAGUGGAAACUGAUCGGCUUGAGUAUGGUAGGGGCAGAGGGAAUUC